UUUCACGUCCUAAACAAAGCAUCUCUUACCAAAACAAAGCAUUAAGACAGUGAAACAUAAAACGGUGCAAAAGACAAAUUCAGCCAAAACAAAUCUAUCACGAAAAAAAUAUAGAAAUAUAAGUAAUAAAAAUAAAUCACAAAUUAAAUGCAGCGCAAGUGUAUGGCAAUAAACUCAGCUGACACGUUGUGUUUAUAUUGUUUGUAUGUGAAGAACCUGACGGCUGACAGGCAGGUAGCCUUCAGGUGUGUGAAUAAAUACAGGAUCAUUAGCCGUUUUAAAUGCUGAGAGUGUAAACUGGUGCCGUGGACUGGAACACCCCAUAAAGGCCUGUUAGUUCUUCCUCAUUUGAUUUCUGCUUCUUUCUUGACCAGGAUAUCAAACAGGCAUCAUCAUCAGUGUAACAACAAGGUAAAGGUGCACGGCUCACACACCUUGUUGCUCUGCAGAAUAUUUCAGAUGUUUCUGUGUAACAGCACUGACAUCCAAGAAACAUGAGAGACCUCUCUGCAUCAGGCCAGACUGAAUAAAACAUAUCACAGCUCUAGGCUUGUUUUUCAAAAUAAAAGCAUUACCUUGGAUCCCUGAAUAAUCUCAAUAUGCAGAAUUCAUCAAUAAAAGUGAAUAUGUACAUCUGGUGGUCACGUUUGGAUCCCUGCUCUGAUGGUUUCCUCACAGGACUGAAGUUUGGAAACAGGAAGUGAUGUCACAUGUCAACAGCUGGAUCCCCCUCACACACCAGUGUACAUGUGAAAUAACACCUGAAUGUGUCUAUCCAGGUGUGUCACCAUGGUGCUGACUCGGCCAAAAGGAGAACAGGGAGGCUGGAGGCGGAGCUUAAGGUGUGGAGGAUGUUCUGCAGAGCGACACCUGGCCAGCAGUGACAGUGGAGACAGACAGGAAGGGCAGGGGAGAGAGAGAGAGGGACCGAGCCCCAGCCGCUGCCAUCAGGACCGAGCCCCAGCCGCUGCCAUCAGGACCGAGCCCCGGUACACGGGACACGCUCUUCACCGAUGAGCCGCCGGGGCGUCCCAUACCUGGAUAUUUAUUACCCAGUUUCCCCUCGGAAAAAUAAAGUAUUUCUGAUUUUUAUGCCCGAUAUGUGGACAGUAAUACGAUGUGACUGUGGGUUACUUGACGUUUUAGAUGUGACAGCAGUUAAAACUAAAAACAGUGUAAUAACAGCUGAAAAUGCAGCGACUUCAAUGUCUUAUUGAUCAGAACAGACCGAUCGGUGUUAAUCGUCCAUAUCGUUGCCUCGUUCAUAUCUGGAUAACAAUAUGAUAACAAUGUGUUGUUCUAACGAGCUCUCCUGCUCAUUACCUCAGGACCCUGUGGACCUGCAGGCCCGGAGCUGAUUGGAGCUUCCCUCAUGACAUCACAUGACAUCAGAUGGUGCGGACAGGUGGGCCAGGUCGCGGCGGACAGGUGGGCCGGGUCGCGGCGGACAGGUGGGCCGGGUCGCGGCGGACAGGAUCAGCGUGGUGAGUCUCCGGAAGGAUCCAGGUGACUUUACCUGCUCAAACAGGUAAAACAGACAUGGAAACAGGACCGGCUCACGGCAAAGCACAGUAUUUCCAGGUGGUUUUCAUUGCCAUGGCAACAGCUGUAGUGUUUACCGAUGUUGACAGAAGAGUCUGUUUGAAUAACUUUAUUGAAACGUCCGCAGUGACGUCAGGUGGGUCUCCGUCACAUCAUCUGCUGCCAAUAAAGUUAUGUAAACAAGAUGAGAAACUAAUCCAUAGUUAAUAUUGGCUCAUUAGACGCUGUCAGCUGAUCCUGACGAGCCGUGUUAAUAAAGUUAUUGAAAAAGGUUCAACCUGCCAGGUGAGACAGGAGCCAGCAGCUGUCUGCCUGUUGUAUUUCUAUGGAGGUAAUGUGACAUAGACACACACGGCAUCACAGACCCGUGAAGACCAGCAUCAGUUCUGUCCUGUGUGUGUGUGUGUGUGUGUGUGUGUGUGUGUGUGUGUGUGUGUGUCAGAGGCUUGAUAACUUUAAUUUUUGUGUGUAAAUGAACGUUUGACUUGUGGAUCAAUAAAGUUUUGUCCAACAGUCCACUGUGCUGAUUAUUUUAGUGUG